UAACAUAUAAAUGUUUAUAGACUUAAGACGCAUCAAAUGGCCAAUCUGUAAAAAAGUAACUGUUAGUUAAAGUUCAUGCGCAGCGCAGUAUUUUCAUUGUUGCAUGCUUUAGUAACUUAAUUUGACAUAAAAGCACGACAAAGAACCACAUUUAACGUUAUACGUGGGGGGAAAGAUGUCCAUCAUGAGAAUACUGACAGAAGCCUGGAGCAUUGCACUGGCUGUCAGUUAACAUGCAUACAAACAACUCAAAUGUCUGUGUUUUUGCAGAGUCUUUGUAUGUGCCCUCGUCCCUUGUGCAGAAACGUACCUCUUGUUUGCUGUGUUAAGCAGUAUGGCAGGGUGGAUCGUUUACAUGUAGUGCCAUUGACUCUCCAGC